GCGGCUGUAGUUCAAUGGUAGAACGAGAGCUUCCCAAGCUCUAUACGAGGGUUCGAUUCCCUUCAGCCCGCUCCA
rnacentral:tRNA from 1 species